rnacentral:rRNA from 1 species
UGGAAACUNUCUGACUUGAGUGCAGAAGGGGAGAGUGGAAUUCCAUGUGUAGCGGUGAAAUGCGUAGAUAUAUGGAGGAACACCAGUGGCGAAAGCGGCUCUCUGGUCUGUCACUGACGCUGAGGCUCGAAAGCGUGGGUAGCGAACAGGAUUAGAUACCCUGGUAGUNCACGCCGUAAACGAUGAGUGCUAGGUGUUAGGCCCNUUCCGGGGCUUAGUGCCGGAGCUAACGCAAUAAGCACUCCGCCUGGGGAGUACGACCGCAAGGUUGAAACUCAAAGGAAUUGACGGGGGCCCGCACAAGCGGUGGAGCAUGUGGUUUAAUUCGAAGCAACGCGAAGAACCUUACCAGGUCUUGACAUCCCGAUGCUAUUCUUAGAGAUAGGAAGUUACUUCGGUACAUCGGAGACAGGUGGUGCAUGGUUGUCGUCAGCUCGUGUCGUGAGAUGUUGGGUUAAGUCCCGCAACGAGCGCAACCCUUAUUGUUAGUUGCCAUCAUUAAGUUGGGCACUCUAGCGAGACUGCCGGUAAUAAACCGGAGGAAGGUGGGGAUGACGUCAAAUCAUCAUGCCCCUUAUGACCUGGGCUACACACGUGCUACAAUGGUCGGUACAACGAGUUGCGAGCCGGUGACGGCAAGCUAAUCUCUGAAAGCCGAUCUCAGUUCGGAUUGGAGGCUGCAACUCGCCUCCAUGAAGUCGGAAUCGCUAGUAAUCGCGGAUCAGCACGCCGCGGUGAAUACGUUCCCGGGCCUUGUACACACCGCCCGUCACACCACGAGAGUUUGUAACACCCGAAGUCGGUGAGGUAACCUUUUAGGGGCCAGCCGCCUAAGG